rnacentral:rRNA from 1 species
GACAGAGGCCCCAAGCGUUAGGCGGAAUCACUGGGCUUAAAGCGUGUGUAGGCGGAUCGUUAAGUGUCUUGUGAAAUCCCACGGCUCACCCGUGGAACUGCUGGGCAUACUGGCGAUCUUGGGCCAACUAGGGGCAGUCGGAACAAGCGGUGGAGCGGUGAAAUGCGUAGAUAUCGCUUGGAACGCCGAAGGGGAAAACAGACUGCUGGGGUUGCGCCGACGCUGAGACACGAAAGCCAGGGGAGCAAACAGG